GACGAACGCUGGCGGCGUGCCUAACACAUGCAAGUCGAACGGAGAUAUUAUUGAAGCUUGCGAUAUAAUAUCUUAGUGGCGGACGGGUGAGUAACGCGUGGGUAAUCUGCCCAUAAGUGGGGAACAACAGUUGGAAACGACUGCUAAUACCGCAUACCUUGAGCAAUCAAGAAAGGUGGCCUCUGAAUAUGCUGCCGCUUAUGGAUGAGCCCGCGUCUGAUUAGCUAGUUGGUGGGGUAAGGGCCUACCAAGGCUGCGAUCAGUAGCCGGCCUGAGAGGGUGAACGGCCACACUGGGACUGAGACACGGCCCAGACUCCUACGGGAGGCAGCAGUGGGGAAUAUUGCGCAAUGGGGGAAACCCUGACGCAGCGACGCCGCGUGAGCGAAG
rnacentral:rRNA from 1 species